GUCGCAUUAUCUUACUGUGUUCCGCGAGCCUCCUUGCUUCCUUAAGCCACCAUUCAGGAGUCGAGGUUGAGUUGUCGGAGAUCCGUUGAGGCGGAGACUAUUUACGAGAAGGGACGAGAC